ACGCUGGCGGCGUGCUUAACACAUGCAAGUCGAACGGAAAGGCCCUGCUUUUGUGGGGUGCUCGAGUGGCGAACGGGUGAGUAACACGUGAGUAACCUGCCCUUGACUUUGGGAUAACUUCAGGAAACUGGGGCUAAUACCGGAUAGGAGCUCCUGCUGCAUGGUGGGGGUUGGAAAGUUUCGGCGGUUGGGGAUGGACUCGCGGCUUAUCAGCUUGUUGGUGGGGUAGUGGCUUACCAAGGCUUUGACGGGUAGCCGGCCUGAGAGGGUGACCGGCCACAUUGGGACUGAGAUACGGCCCAGACUCCUACGGGAGGCAGCAGUGGGGAAUAUUGCACAAUGGGCGGAAGCCUGAUGCAGCAACGCCGCGUGCGGGAUGACGGCCUUCGGGUUGUAAACCGCUUUCGCCUGUGACGAAGCGUGAGUGACGGUAAUGGGUAAAGAAGCACCGGCUAACUACGUGCCAGCAGCCGCGGUGAUACGUAGGGUGCGAGCGUUGUCCGGAUUUAUUGGGCGUAAAGGGCUCGUAGGUGGUUGAUCGCGUCGGAAGUGUAAUCUUGGGGCUUAACCCUGAGCGUGCUUUCGAUACGGGUUGACUUGAGGAAGGUAGGGGAGAAUGGAAUUCCUGGUGGAGCGGUGGAAUGCGCAGAUAUCAGGAGGAACACCAGUGGCGAAGGCGGUUCUCUGGGCCUUUCCUGACGCUGAGGAGCGAAAGCGUGGGGAGCGAACAGGCUUAGAUACCCUGGUAGUCCACGCUGUAAACGGUGGGUACUAGGUGUGGGGUCCAUUCCACGGGUUCCGUGCCGUAGCUAACGCUUUAAGUACCCCGCCUGGGGAGUACGGCCGCAAGGCUAAAACUCAAAGGAAUUGACGGGGCCCCGCACAAGCGGCGGAGCAUGCGGAUUAAUUCGAUGCAACGCGUAGAACCUUAACUGGGUUUGACAUGGAUCGGGAGUGCUCAGAGAUGGGUGUGCCUCUUUUGGGGUCGGUUCACAGGUGGUGCAUGGCUGUCGUCAGCUCGUGUCGUGAGAUGUUGGGUUAAGUCCCGCAACGAGCGCAACCCUUGUUCACUGUUGCCAGCACGUUAUGGUGGGGACUCAGUGGAGACCGCCGGGGUCAACUCGGAGGAAGGUGGGGAUGACGUCAAGUCAUCAUGCCCCUUAUGUCCAGGGCUUCACGCAUGCUACAAUGGCUGGUACAGAGAGUGGCGAGCCUGUGAGGGUGAGCGAAUCUCGGAAAGCCGGUCUCAGUUCGGAUUGGGGUCUGCAACUCGACCUCAUGAAGUCGGAGUCGCUAGUAAUCGCAGAUCAGCAACGCUGCGGUGAAUACGUUCCCGGGGCUUGUACACACCGCCCGUCAAGUCAUGAAAGUUGGUAACACCCGAAGCCGGUGGCCUAACCGUUGUGGGGGAGCCGUCGAAGGUGGGACUGG
rnacentral:rRNA from 1 species